CGCGUGAAUGAAGAAGGGUUUCGGCUCGUAAAACUCUGUUGUUAAAGAAGAACAUAUCUGAGAGUAACUGUUCAGGUAUUGACGGUAUUUAACCAGAAAGCCACGGCUAACUACGUGCCAGCAGCCGCGGUAAUACGUAGGUGGCAAGCGUUGUCCGGAUUUAUUGGGCGUAAAGCGAGCGCAGGCGGUUUUUUAAGUCUGAUGUGAAAGCCUUCGGCUCAACCGAAGAAGUGCAUCGGAAACUGGGAAACUUGAGUGCAGAAGAGGACAGUGGAACUCCAUGUGUAGCGGUGAAAUGCGUAGAUAUAUGGAAGAACACCAGUGGCGAAGGCGGCUGUCUGGUCUGUAACUGACGCUGAGGCUCGAAAGUAUGGGUAGCAAACAGGAUUAGAUACCCUGGUAGUCCAUACCGUAAACGAUGAAUGCUAAGUGUUGGAGGGUUUCCGCCCUUCAGUGCUGCAGCUAACGCAUUAAGCAUUCCGCCUGGGGAGUACGGCCGCAAGGCUGAAACUCAAAGGAAUUGACGGGGGCCCGCACAAGCGGUGGAGCAUGUGGUUUAAUUCGAAGCUACGCGAAGAACCUUACCAGGUCUUGACAUACUAUGCAAAUCUAAGAGAUUAGACGUUCCCUUCGGGGACAUGGAUACAGGUGGUGCAUGGUUGUCGUCAGCUCGUGUCGUGAGAUGUUGGGUUAAGUCCCGCAACGAGCGCAACCCUUAUUAUCAGUUGCCAGCAUUAAGUUGGGCACUCUGGUGAGACUGCCGGUGACAAACCGGAGGAAGGUGGGGAUGACGUCAAAUCAUCAUGCCCCUUAUGACCUGGGCUACACACGUGCUACAAUGGAUGGUACAACGAGUUGCGAACUCGCGAGAGUAAGCUAAUCUCUUAAAGCCAUUCUCAGUUCGGAUUGUAGGCUGCAACUCGCCUACAUGAAGUCGGAAUCGCUAGUAAUCGCGGAUCAGCAUGCCGCGGUGAAUACGUUCCCGGGCCUUGUACACACCGCCCGUCACACCAUGAGAGUUUGUAACACCCAAAGUCGGUGGGGU
rnacentral:rRNA from 2 species